rnacentral:rRNA from 1 species
UGGGGAAUUUUGGGCAAUGGGCGCAAGCCUGAUCCAGCCAUGCCGCGUGAGUGAAGAAGGCCUUCGGGUUGUAAAGCUCUUUUACCAGGGACGAUAAUGACGGUACCUGGAGAAUAAGCCCCGGCAAACUUCGUGCCAGCAGCCGCGGUAAUACGAAGGGGGCUAGCGUUGUUCGGAAUUACUGGGCGUAAAGCGCACGUAGGCGGAUUGUUAAGUCAGAGGUGAAAUCCCGGAGCUCAACUUCGGAACUGCCUUUGAUACUGGCAAUCUCGAGUCCGGAAGAGGUUAGUGGAAUUCCCAGUGUAGAGGUGAAAUUCGUAGAUAUUGGGAAGAACACCAGUGGCGAAGGCGGCUAACUGGUCCGGUACUGACGCUGAGGUGCGAAAGCGUGGGGAGCAAACAGGAUUAGAUACCCAAGUAGUCCCUGAGCGGGCUGGCAAGGCGCAU